UGUAUAUAAGGAAACUGUGAUUCGAAUAUUUACUUGGGCACUUUAUAUUCGAUGAGUUAAUAGUGCAACCGACCUUUUUAUUA
rnacentral:ncRNA from 25 species